UACGUAGGGUGCAAGCGUUGUCCGGAAUUAUUGGGCGUAAAGAGCUCGUAGGCGGUCUGUCACGUCGGCUGUGAAAACCCGAGGCUCAACCUCGAGACGUCGGCGGAAACCAUCUGGCUAGAGUCCGGAAGAGGAGAGUGGAAUUCCUGGUGUAGCGGUGAAAUGCGCAGAUAUCAGGAAGAACACCCGUGGCGAAGGCGGCUCUCUGGGACGGUAUUGACGCUGAGACGCGAAAGCGUGGGGAGCGAACAGG
rnacentral:rRNA from 1 species